GACGAACGCUGGCGGCGUGCUUAACACAUGCAAGUCGAGCGGAGCGGCGAACGGGUGAGUAACGCGUGAGUAACUGCCCCCCUCUCUGGGAUAACAGUUGGAAACGGCUGCUAAUACCGGAUAGUGGGGGAUGACUCGCGUCCUAUCAGCUUGUUGGUGGGGUAGUGGCCUACCAAGGCGACGACGGGUAGCCGGCCUGAGAGGGCGACCGGCCGAGCAGCUGGUGGGAGGGUUGGUGGCGUAGCAGGGGGACGACGGGUAGGCGGCCUGGGUGGCCGACAGGCGACACUGAGAUACGGCCCAAACUCCGACCGCAGGCAGCAGUGGGGAAUAUUGGACAAUGGGGGAACACCUGAUGCAGAACCGGCGCGUGGGGGAUGACGGCCUUCGGGUUGUAAACCGCUUUCGCUAUCGGACAAGGGUCAUUUUUUUGGUGGGUUGAGGGUAGGUGGAGAAGAAGCGCCGGCUAACUACGUGCCAGCAGCCGCGGUAAUAC
rnacentral:rRNA from 1 species